CGCCGCGGUAAUUCCAGCUCCAAUAGCGUAUAUUAGUGUUGUUGCGGUUAAAAAGCUCGUAGUUGAAUUUCGGGAUUGGGAUAUAUCGGUCGUGCCUUUAGGGGCAUGAAUCGGUGUGUGGCCAAUUCUCACCUUCUGGUGAAUUGGGAUGCUCUCGGGUGUUUCAAUGAACUAGGACUUUUACUUUGAAAAAAUUAGAGUGUUUAAAGCGGGCAUUUUUGCUUGAAUACGUUAGCAUGGAAUAAUAAAAUAGGACGAUGGUUCUAUUUUGUUGGUUUUAGGACCACGUAAUGAUUAAUAGGGAUAGUUGGGGGCAUUAGUAUUCAAUUGUCAGAGGUGAAAUUCUUGGAUUUAUUGAGGACUAACUACUGCGAAAGCAUUUGCCAAGGAUGUUUUCAUUAAUCAAGAACGAAAGUUAGGGGAUCAAAGACGAUUUAUGUACGUCGUAGUCUUAACCAUAAACUAUGCCGACUAGGAAUCAGACAAAGUUAAUUUUUUAACGACUUGUUUGGUACCUUACG
rnacentral:misc_RNA from 1 species